rnacentral:rRNA from 1 species
AACGUAGGUGGCGAGCGUUGUCCGGAAUUAUUGGGCGUAAAGAGCUCGUAGGCGGCUUGUCACGUCGGGUGUGAAAGCCCGGGGCUUAACCCCGGGUCUGCAUUCGAUACGGGCUAGCUAGAGUGUGGUAGGGGAGAUCGGAAUUCCUGGUGUAGCGGUGGAAUGCGCAGAUAUCUGGAGGAACACCGGUGGCGAAGGCGGUCUGCUGGGCCGUUGCUGACGCUGAGGCGCGACAGCGUGGGGAGCAACAGG